UGUCCCAGCCGCCGCGGUAAUACGUAGGUGGCAAGCGUUAUCCGGAAUUAUUGGGCGUAAAGCGCGCGUAGGCGGUUUUUUAAGUCUGAUGUGAAAGCCCACGGCUCAACCGUGGAGGGUCAUUGGAAACUGGAAAACUUGAGUGCAGAAGAGGAAAGUGGAAUUCCAUGUGUAGCGGUGAAAUGCGUAGAUAUAUGGAAGAACACCAGUGGCGAAAGCGGCUCUCUGGUCUGUAACUGACGCUGAGGUUCGAAAGCGUGGGUAGCAAACAGGAUUAGAUACCCUGGUAGUCCACGCCGUAAACGAUGAGUGCUAAGUGUUGGAGGGUUUCCGCCCUUCAGUGCUGCAGCUAACGCAUUAAGCACUCCGCCUGGGGAGUACGGUCGCAAGACUGAAACUCAAAGGAAUUGACGGGGGCCCGCACAAGCGGUGGAGCAUGUGGUUUAAUUCGAAGCAACGCGAAGAACCUUACCAGGUCUUGACAUCUUCUGACAAUUCCAGAGAUGGAACGUUCCCUUCGGGGACAGAAUGACAGGUGGUGCAUGGUUGUCGUCAGCUCGUGUCGUGAGAUGUUGGGUUAAGUCCCGCAACGAGCGCAACCCUUAUUGUCAGUUGCCAUCAUUAAGUUGGGCACUCUGGCGAGACUGCCGGUGACAAACCGGAGGAAGGUGGGGAUGACGUCAAAUCAUCAUGCCCCUUAUGACCUGGGCUACACACGUGCUACAAUGGACGGUACAACGAGUCGCUAACUCGCGAGGGCAAGCUAAUCUCUUAAAGCCGUUCUCAGUUCGGAUUGCAGGCUGCAGCUCGCCUGCAUGAAGUCGGAAUCGCUAGUAAUCGCGAAUCAGCAUGUCGCGGUGAAUACGUUCCCGGGCCUUGUACACACCGCCCGUCACACCAUGAGAGUUUGUAACACCCAAAGUCGGUGGGGUAACCUUUUGGAGCCAGCCGCCUAAGGUGGGACAGAUGAUUGGGGUGAAGUCGUAACAAGGUAACCAAUCGA
rnacentral:rRNA from 1 species